AUUGAACGCUGGCGGCAGGCCUAACACAUGCAAGUCGAGCGGAUGAAGGGAGCUUGCUCCUGGAUUCAGCGGCGGACGGGUGAGUAAUGCCUAGGAAUCUGCCUGGUAGUGGGGGAUAACGUCCGGAAACGGGCGCUAAUACCGCAUACGUCCUGAGGGAGAAAGUGGGGGAUCUUCGGACCUCACGCUAUCAGCUGAGCCUAGGUCGGAUUAGCUAGUUGGUGGGGUAAAGGCCUACCAAGGCGACGAUCCGUAACUGGUCUGAGAGGAUGAUCAGUCACACUGGAACUGAGACACGGUCCAGACUCCUACGGGAGGCAGCAGUAGGGAAUAUUGGGCAAUGGGCGAAAGCCUGAUCCAGCCAUGCCGCGUGUGUGAAGAAGGUCUUCGGAUUGUAAAGCACUUUAAGUUGGGAGGAAGGGCAGUAAGUGAAUACCUGGCUGUUUUGACGGUACCAACAGAGUAAGCACCGGCUAACUUCGUG
rnacentral:rRNA from 1 species